CACACUGUGCAAUAGAAGUGGUGUGCAGGUAUAUUACACAAGCUGUGGACAACCCGUUGAAGAUCUCUACAUGUUUGUGUCAUUUUAUGUGAACGGGCAAACGUUCCUGGAUUACCACUAUAAUGUUUGUGAGCCAGCCACUCAAAAAUUUCUGUUCUGUGGGCGCAAACGAGGAGAGCUAAUUUCUAAGGAUGGACCAGUUGAGAUCCCACUGAAAGCAAUCCCAUCAAUAUCUCUUUUUGUUUAAUGUGAUUGGUGAUGUUUGGCUGUUGGUCCCCAUGAUUAAUGCUCAUGUACAAUUCAAAUGACAGAAAACAAAUGCAACACAUGUGAGCCCACUGCUACCUCUGGUCGUCUUAUCAUCCCCAGGGUCACUUUGAAGUGAAAAUUAUGAUAUUGAUCCAGAACCAAUUUCUAAUCUGACGUCUUAAUUUCACCAUCAGCAAAAUGUGACAUACAUGUGUAUGAAAUCUGUUUUAUUUUGGUGCAGCUCAAAAUAUCAAUGUGAUUGUUUACUCUAAAUAUAAAAAAUGCUCAGCAUGGUAAUGUGUAUUUCAUUGUGUAUCUGUGCUCUGUUUGGUUCUCUUAUUACAUUUGCUGAUUAAUUCAUCCCUCUGCGGUUUCACUAUCUGAUGCAAUCUUGAGUCUGGAAAAAUCAAAGCCUGACAAGAAGUGCCAAUGGUCUUAAUACAAUCCGAGCUUGAUUAUUUGCAGCUCUCUGGAAUGCUUCCACAUCACUACAAA